AGUUUGAUCCUGGCUCAGGAUGAACGCUGNCGGCGAGCCUAAUACAUGCUAGUCGAGCGAACAGACGAGAAGCUUGCUUCUCUGAUGUUANCGGCGGACCGGUGAGUAACACGUGGAUAACCUACCUAUAAGACUGGGAUAACUUCGGGUAACCGGAGCUAAUACCGGAUAAUAUUUUGAACCGCAUGGUUCAAAAGUGAAAGACGGUCUUGCUGUCACUUAUAGAUGGAUCCGCGCUGCAUUACCUAGUUGGUAAGGUAACGGCUUACCAAGGCAACGAUGCAUAGCCGACAUGAGAGGGUGAUCGGCCACACUGGAACUGAGACACGGUCCAGACUCCUACGGGAGGCUGCAGUAGGGAAUCUUCUUGCAAUGGGCGAAAGCCUGACGGAGCAACGCCGCGUGAGUGAUGAAGGUACUUCGGAUCGUAAAUACUCCUGUUAUUAGGGAAGAACAUAUGUGUAAGUAACUGUGCACAUCCUUGUACGGUACCUACNGCAGAAAGCCACGGCUAA
rnacentral:rRNA from 1 species